GUCGCCUUCCUUCGGGACUCCGGAUCGAUCUGGAGCUCCGGGAAUUUCCCUGGCCCGGCCGCUCCGGGCUUUCCAGUCUCAACCAUGCAUAAAAAGGGUUCGCCGAUCUUGGGGAGCCACACAGCCCGGGUCGCAGGCACCUCCCCGCCAGCUCUCCCGCUUCUCGCACAGCUUCCCGACGCGUCUGCUGAGCCCCAUGGCCCACGCCACGCUCUCCGCCGCCCCCAGCAAUCCCCGGCUCCUGCGGGUGGCGCUGCUGCUCCUGCUCCUGGUGGCCGCCAGCCGGCGCGCAGCAGGAGCGUCCGUGGUCACUGAACUGCGCUGCCAGUGCUUGCAGACACUGCAGGGAAUUCACCUCAAGAACAUCCAAAGUGUGAAUGUAAGGUCCCCCGGACCCCACUGCGCCCAAACCGAAGUCAUGUAAGUCCCGCCCCGCGCUUCCGCUGCCACCGCUGGGGUCCCCGACUCUCCCGCUGCCCCAACCCUGUCCCCAGCCCGACCUCCUGUCUCACGGAAUUCCCUUCUCUCUGCAGAGCCACACUCAAGAAUGGGAAGAAAGCUUGUCUCAACCCCGCAUCCCCCAUGGUUCAGAAAAUCAUCGAAAAGAUACUGAACAAGUGAGUUGUAAUUUCCAUAUACACAGGCGACUGGAGCCGUUGGUCAGAAAUACUGGCAUCUGCCCCCUAAAAAUAAAAUCAGGGAACCCCAAGAGUUAGCUGAAGGACUAGAAAUUGUGAUUAUUAUUUUCACAAUUAAAGUUGCCAUUAAGGUUAUUAAUCUGCUCUGGUGCCAGAGGAUAUUUCAGUAUUUCAGUGUCUUCCAUUUCCAGGCCUAACCCCUGGGAGGGUAAAUGUGGGUUUCUAGAAUACUAAGUAAAUUUGACUAACAAUGCCAAAAUGCCCCCUGCCUGUUUUGGGACGUUUACCUCAGUCCCUAAUGGGCUUCAGACCUGAAAAAUGCAAUGUCUGGUUUGGGCACUUUGGGCCUGUAAGCCUUCUUGGUGAAGAGCAGAAACUUUGCAGUAACACCUUCAGUGAGUUCAAGGCUAGGAUCCCUGUCAACGUUAUUUAAUCUCUUUGAGCUUUAGCAAAAUAGGGUAGAUAAUGGUAGUUAUUUCAUAGGGUUGUGUGCAGCUUAAGGGAGAUCAUGAAUGGACAUUUCUAACCCAAUGUGACAAUCAGUGACCAAUAUGUUUUGGCUUUUUCAAACCAAGAAUCUAGUUGAGUCCACAGCCACUUCUUUCUUGAAAAAAAAAAAAAAAGCAUUCAGGAGUGCAAGUUUUCUGCUAUAGAAGGCAGUGGGUACAGACAGACCUUCCCUGAGUGGAGGGCUGGGAGAGAGUCUGCAUGGGGACAUCCCUCCAAGCAACUUCAGAGUGACAGAAGAGCAGCCUUCCUUAGCACCUGCAACAGUAACCCUUUUCUCAUCACAGGGGGAGCACCAACUGACAGGAGAGAAGUAAGAAGCUUAUCAGCGUAUCAUUGACACUUCCUGCAGGGUGGUCCCUGCCCUUACCAGAGCUGAAAAUGAAAAAGAGAACAGCAGCUUUCUAGGGACAGCUGGAAAGGACUUAAUGUGUUUGACUAUUUCUUACGAGGGUUCUACUUAUUUAUGUAUUUAUUUUUGAAAGCUUGUAUUUUA
rnacentral:lncRNA from 10 species